AGAGUUUGAUCAUGGCUCAGAACGAACGCUGGCGGCAGGCCUAACACAUGCAAGUCGAGCGCCCCCGCAAGGGGGAGCGGCGGACGGGUGAGUAACGCGUGGGAAUUUUCCUCAAGGUACGGAACAACUCAGGGAAACUUGGGCUAAUACCGUAUGAUGUCUAGCGACCAAAGAUUUAUCGCCUUGGGAUAAGCCCGCGUCAGAUUAGGUAGUUGGUGGGGUAACGGCCUACCAAGCCUGCGAUCUGUAGCUGGUCUGAGAGGACGAUCAGCCACACUGGGACUGAGACACGGCCCAGACUCCUACGGGAGGCAGCAGUGGGGAAUCUUGCGCAAUGGGCGAAAGCCUGACGCAGCCAUGCCGCGUGAAUGAUGAAGGUCUUAGGAUUGUAAAGUUCUUUCGCUCGUGACGAUGAUGACGGUAACGAGAGAGAG
rnacentral:rRNA from 1 species